rnacentral:rRNA from 1 species
UACAGAGGCCACGAGCGUUAGGCGGAAUCACUGGGCUUAAAGCGUGCGUAGACGGUAGCGUAAGUCGGGUGUGAAAGCCCCGGGCUCAACCUGGGAAUUGCAUUCGAGACUGCUCUGCUAGGGUGCGGAAGAGGGAAGCGGAAUUUCCGGUGUAGCGGUGGAAUGCGCAGAUAUCAGGAGGAACACCGGUGGCGAAGGCGGGUCUCUGGGCAGUAACUGACGCUGAGGAGCGAAAGCGUGGGGAGCGAACAGG